AUUGAACGCUGGCGGCAGGCCUAACACAUGCAAGUCGAGCGGAGCGGCGGACGGGUGAGUAAUGCCUAGGUAUCUGACUGGUCGUGGGGGAUGACGUCAGGAAACGGGCGCUAAUACCGCAACCUAUCAGAUUAGCCUAGGUCGGAUUAGCUAGUUGGUGGGGUAAAGGCCUACCAAGGCGACGAUCCGUAACUGGUCUGAGAGGAUGAUCAGUCACACUGGAACUGAGACACGGUCCAGACUCCUACGGGAGGCAGCAGUGGGGAAUAUUGGACAAUGGGCGAAAGCCUGAUCCAGCCAUGCCGCGUGUGUGAAGAAGGUCUUCGGGUUGUAAAGCACUUUAAGUUGGGAAGCGUUACCUGCAGAAUAAGCACCGGCUAACUUCGUGCCAGCCGCCGCGGUAAUAC
rnacentral:rRNA from 1 species